GCAGUGGUCUCUCCCGCGCCUGCGCGUCGCAGGCCGAGGGGCCGCGCCAGGGAAGUACCAGCUCCUGGCGGAGGACGGUGAGCGUGUCGGUGGGGUGGAGAGCGUUCUCCUGCCGGUUAGCCUCUGCUGUGCUCCAGCGCCCUUGGCAGGGUCGCCUGCAGCGCUGGGCCUGCCCUUGGCCACGCUACUUCCCGCGGCAGUGGCACCGGUGUCCUCCUCCGGCCAUAUUCAGUUAGAGCUCUUGGCACAGGUUGUUGCCUGUUUCCCAAUAACAGGUCUUUUGGGACCCCCUGUGUUCUGUAGAGCCAAGGGGAUCCUUCGACUCUUCAAGAGUCCUGUGCCCCUCGCAGCUAUAUGGCCUCUUACAAAUGAAGAUGGAAUCUGUCCGGCAUGUUGAAAUUGUUGACCAGAAUGCAAAGAGGACACAGGUCCCUGAACUUUAAUAUUAGAAGUCUGGAAUGCAGAUGGAAAGGGCCCUAAUGUCUGGGACACAUUCACCCAUCAGGGAGGAGAUGGAGUUUUCAGGAACC